UAUAGUUUGUUGUUUUUUAUGCCCAAUUAUACAUGCAUAUUUUGUACUUUUUCAAAAUCGGCUUACUCAGUUUAGCGUUUCAUUUAAUCUGAGUAUGCAAUUUGUAAUAACAGUAGAGUGUCUUCUCUUAUGUUGUAAAUUUUUCUCUUACUAAUUCCUUUAAAAAAAAAUGUUUUUUCUUACUUUGUGUGAAUCUGCAUGCUUCCAUUUCCCUUUCACGUUGCUGCUGAUACACCUGAAUUUACCCACUGUGGGACAACAUAUUUCUAUUCUAUUUCUACUCUAUUCUAUUUUAUGUGAAAAAAAUGUUUAUAUCACAAAAAAUAGGGAUUUUAACAAGCGUAAGUACACCUCAGAGAUCCACUGUAUAGUGGUACUCAACUGUCAUACCUAAAGUGCAGAUACUUCAUAUAGAUUUUUAAUUCUCAUCCAGUUAGUCAGCUGUCAACAAUAAGUGACAUAGCCUCUAUACAAUGUGAGAGUGGGAAGCUUUGUGCCUGUUUUUGCAUUCUGUCUGCACUGAUGAAAUCCAAAUCUUGCUUCAGAUUGCUGUAGCAAAUAAAUUGCUCAGAAUCCUUGGCGUGGCAAAUGAAUUCCCAUGAGGCUCAUGGGGAGGGGGACAAGCGUGUAGGAAGGAUUAGGAAGAGAAGUGAUUUUUGGUUGUUGUGAUUCCAUCCUUGUAAGUCGUAGUCACACUGAAAAAACUAUUUCACUUCCAGAGCCACUAGUGUCAGUUAUUUUGUGCAGAAAUACUUUGCGCACUUAUAACUCUUAUACUUACAGGUUUAUUGUCAGCAUUCCAGUGUACUAAAUUGAGACUCAGUGAAUGGUCAAAACUGCUUACCUAGUCAGUUUUUGCAUCUCUGGAACUCUUAACUAUCCAUGCAAGUGGUUUACUACAUCAGCCUGCACCAAAUAAUAUAUUUUAACCCUUACUAUAGCUCAGAUGGAUGUUUUAUCAUAUGUAUACAAGUGCAAUGCUUUGCUGUCAGAGUGCAAAACACUAUGCAGAACACACCAAACACCGGUUGGCACAUGCACCCCGAGUUCCACAUGACCACCUCAGCUCCUUGCGAUAAACAGUUCCACAGAUGGUCUGGAGUCACACCAGCUGGGAGACUCCCAGGGUAUGAGGUGUUGCCAUGCUGUGACUCCAUCUUGUCUGUUCUGCAGACAGCGUGCUCUCUCCUUCUGCUUCAGAGAGAAAACUCCACACAUGCGCCCCACUUACUGAUCACACGUCCACAUCAUACUGUGUUCCUAACACACCAAACAACAAUGCACACUCAGCUUGUUGGACGUUUUUGUUUUCAUGUGGAUUUCUCUGCCAGGGAGAAUGCUGCAGGCUAAGUAAACCUGAACCCCAGAUUUAUGUCACUGAAUACUGACUACGUGUCCGGAGUUCUUCCUGGAUGAUCAAGGCUAUCUACGUUCAGAGGAUUUCAUUUCCUAUCUACUGUCUUCGUUUGGAUUCAAAUCUAGCUGGCAGUUUCCUGCUACCUUCGCCUCCUGGACCAAGCCGCAAGCGUACCCUGUCCACCCUCCAACGUAAGCAUCUGCACACUGAACUCAUUCCUGUUUGUUCCGAGCUCACACUGAACAGCACCUAAAGAAACUUCUACAAACCUGGAUCCUGAAUGCCUCUUCCCCUGGCAACCUGACUACACCUAUUUAUUGGAGAAUCAUCAGUUACAUUCCCGAUCAUCUUUGUCACAUUUAACAUCUAUAUAUUCUGUUCUCCGGAGUGUUCUCUGCUGGACAUUCAAUGAAAAACUCAUACCAAACUUAUUCACAUCCCUGGGAGGUGUAUGUUUAACAUAAUGUUUAAAUUUUACCAUCAUGUUUUUUUCUGACUAGAUGUAAUAUUAAUCAUUUGGAGUGGCCCAGCCAGAAUGUGGUAAUCUGUGGAAGGAGCAAAUUAGGGUGAUGGCAGGGAGCACUUCCAACCUCAAACAUCAUAAUGAGUGUAUGUAAACCUCUGACCUUAAGUGUAGCUUGUGACCUUGAUCAACACGCCCAGUUCUAUUCCCAGCCUGUGAUCAGUGCUGUUGCUGUCAUUGUUUGAAACUGAGGGCAGCACCUGUUCCCGGGCUGCCGACUGAAGCAGUGACAUUUCAGAGGACCUUGGGCCAGAGAUACGAGCCUACGUGUGAGCACGAAGCACUCUCCAUGUCAAAGAGAGCCCAGCAUUUCCCUGAAUGAGACAAUAAAACAGAGAGAGGAGAAGAUAAAGAGGAUAUAAAAGGAGUCUCAUCCUCUCUGUGUUAUUUGCUGAUAAACCUGGAGCUGAGGCCUUAAUGAAAUCAGGCUGUGUUGUGUUUGGCCAGCACAGAACCUCAGUCAGCUGCCGCUUUCAACGGCUGCCAACUCAUUUUACUGGGGAUCAUCUGGUCGACCCUAUUC